rnacentral:rRNA from 1 species
AUUGAACGCUGGCGGCAGGCCUAACACAUGCAAGUCGAGCGGAUGAAGGGAGCUUGCUCCUGGAUUCAGCGGCGGACGGGUGAGUAAUGCCUAGGAAUCUGCCUGGUAGUGGGGGAUAACGUCCGGAAACGGGCGCUAAUACCGCAUACGUCCUGAUGGAGAAAGUGGGGGAUCUUCGGACCUCACUCUAUCAGAUGAGCCUAGGUCGGAUUAGCUAGUUGGUGGGGUAAAGGCCUACCAAGGCGACGAUCCGUAACUGGUCUGAGAGGAUGAUCAGUCACACUGGAACUGAGACACGGUCCAGACUCCUACGGGAGGCAGCAGUGGGGAAUAUUGGACAAUGGGCGAAAGCCUGAUCCAGCCAUGCCGCGUGUGUGAAGAAGGUCUUCGGAUUGUAAAGCACUUUAAGUUGGGAGGAAGGGCAGUAAGUUAAUACCUUGCUGUUUUGACGUUACCAACAGAAUAAGCACCGGCUAACUUCGUG